AUGGUGACACAUCCCUCAGCCAUCCGUGGGGGCCCUUCUCCCGAUGAGGCCGGGCAGGCGGGGUGGGCGGGCUGUCGGGAAGCUGGCAGAGUCCGGAGCUGGGGCAGCCUUUGGUUCAAAGCCCUUCUCGUAAAGGUUUCCAAGGGGGCAAAGGGCAGCCGGAGGACGUCUGCUCUCUGGGGCUGGAGCGGUAAGGCCGGCCUUCGGGACCAGGCUUCUCUCUGUGCCGGGAGUCCUCGCCCACCCUGGGGUGCUGGCCCCGGGCAGAGGGGCGCUGUCCUAAGGCCACUGGCUGUGGGGGCUGAAUGGAAGGCCGUGACCAGCCACCAUGACCUGGAGAUGGGACAAACGGUGGCCCUCACUGAAGGUGCCGCCUGGCCUGGAGGCGUCCGAGCUGCGCGCUGCCGAGGAGGCCCAACGCCAGGCAGAGCUGAGCCUCGAGGGCCCUCCGCCCCGGGGCCGGUUGCGCGGAGCCGGCGCGG
rnacentral:lncRNA from 1 species